ACACAUGAACGUAAUGCCAAUAGCGGAAAACACAAAUCGAGUCUGUAGUUCCAUUUAACUUAGUAGUGUAAAGUAAGCGAAAAGCAGUGGAGAGUGGCUUUGGAAACAUUCAGUAAAGAAGAGCCUCUUGCAACGCAAAAUAAACUGAUUGGUAGUCUUGCAGAUUCUUAGAUUCAGAGGACAGUAUUUGUAUGACGAGAAUGGCAAUUCGUAUUUGGACUGUAUCAGCAACGUUCAGCACGCGACAAAGGACACGAUCCAAAGCCCUUUGAACAUAACAGUACAACAUAAUCAACACAACAGUGCCUCCUAGUGUUCAGAGGCCAAUGAUCUAGCAUUACACUUGGAACCCAACAUGAAGACAUUGUGUUUGACCAGCCCCUGUAGCAGACACCUGUAGAGACGACCAACCCAGCCCAGACAUAUGCAGAUACUGUGGAGGACGUGAUAGACCAGGUGCACCAACAAGGUCGCAAGCUACAGCAAAUACAGUAGUGCGUGGACGAGGAGAACAGAAGUCUACAUUUGGACACAGAGCAGUGUGUAAUGCUGAUAGUGUAGUAACAGUGUAACAAUGCUUAUUAGUUGUGUUCUAAAUCUAUGGGUAUACUCUCUCAAUAUGGACAUGAACCACAGGUUUCACCGUUUUUCAUUAAGUCGUUGCCCAGUCAUCUUCUUGCCCAAACGAUACUCAACCAAAGUAACAGAGUAGGUACUGCCUCGGAGCAUACGAUAUCAGUGUACUAUUAUACUGUACCAUUCUCUCAUCAGCGAAGACUAGGUCCAACAGCCAAAUCCUCACGAGUUAGGAUCAAGGUCAUUGUGCAUAAUAAAAUCUUUGCUCUGUUGGUAUCUCUCUACAGAUAUGUGUGCUCUGCAAGGGGAGUGUUUGUGGCAGACGAGGUGAAGACAGGUUUUGGGCGUGUGGGGAGUCACUUUUGGGCGUUCCAGCUUCAGGGUGAUGACUUCUGCCCUGACAUAAUGACCAAGGUGAUGGGUAACGGGCAUCCCCUGGCAUGUAUGGUAACCAUAGUGGAGAGAGCUGGGGCCUUCACAGCCAACAAAGUGGAGUACUUUCACAGUGAGAGACUAGUAGUUGCUGUUACUACCCAUUUAAAAAAAUGUUACCUUAAUUUAACUUGGCAAGUCAGUUAAGAACAAAUUCUUAUUUACAAUGAUGACCUACCCUGGCCAAACCCUAACGACCCUGGGCCAAUUGUGCACCGCCCUAUAGAACUCCCAAUCACAGCCGGUUGUGAUACAGCCUGGAAUCUUACCAGGGUCUGUAGUGACGCCUCUAGCACUGAGAUGCAGUGUUUUAGACCGCUGCACCACUCGGGAGCCCCUAUAUAUAUUCUUAGAAAAUAAGGUGUAGUGCACUAAAAUGAAUGUUGUACAUUUGUUUACUGCACUGCAUCUGCACAACCAAUAAACCCUGAUAUGUGCAACUCAAAUUAGGAGUCUCAUCCCUAAUCAUGAUUUGUGGCUUUCCUGUGACUGCAGUUUGGCAGACACCCAGCGUCAGUGGACGUGAUUGAGGACCUGAGUGGGAACUCACAAGUUAGACACCUAUUGGACCUGCUGACGCAGCUACAGACCUAACAUCCAAUCAUUGGAGACAUCCGGCAGGAGAAUUAUGGCCGGAAUUGUGUUUAGGUAAUGACCGUUCCUUGGCCCCAGGCACUGCUGACACAUGCCAGAUCUUGCAACACCUGGAUAGGUAUUUUACAUAUCAGCCAAUCACAUUAUAGCAAUCUGGUGUUUAAAGGCAGUCGAAGACUUUGCACGCAACCAUUGGUUGAUGAUGCAUGCAACUUCUGAGCAGGGGAACGCGCCCAUGGUCUCUAUAGUAACCAUUGACUACCUACAUAAGACCUUGCAUUCUGAGAUACUGGCUGAAUAGUGGUUGUGGGCAUGGAGAUGGUCAGAGCUAAUGGGCUGAUUGUGGGCUUAAGCUUUUUCAAAUAAAUCUUAACAUUACCUUUAAAAAAAAGGUGCAUGCAGAAAUAUCCUUUCCUGUUUGACUGAAAGAGCACAGAAAGCCCCUGGGAGAACAGUCAGGUUUAAUCCUCCCAUGUGGAGGACGCAGAGCUGGUGGCAUACAGGAUACACCCCAUUCUCACAGGUGAUUGGAACACAAACCCUGCAGCCUUGAAUGAAGCAUAUUACAGGACACUCAAAUCAGUUUAUUACUCACAGGUGAUCGGAAGGUCCCACAGAUAAUCUUUGUCCCCCUAAACUACCGCAGUGUUCUCAGAACUGAUACCUUUAUCUGCCAACACAAUAUAUGGGAAUAGGGGUUGGACCAGGCUAAUGACACUCACUCAACACCAGCAAAGCAGGUACAGCAGAAUCUGUUGACAAAUAUUUAUCCCCCCCCCCGACAAAAACUGGACAAUGGAGACGGCUAAGGUUUGUACAACCCUGUAGAAAUAUUUAAUUGCAUCAGACAGUAAGAUUUGGUCACAGUCAGGUAGCGGUGUGGAUAGUGUCAAGUACUCUAGUAGAUUAACUGUUAAAGUGCAUUUCAGACAUUUGGAUUUCGUAAAGGUCCUUGCUAGUCAGCAUCUGUGGGACAUCCCAUGGAUCCCAGAUAACCAUUUCAUAAAGCAGAGCACCAGACCUGGAGCCAUCUUGGAGGAAGACAGACUGCAGACAUAAGAAAGCCCAUCUCAUGGAUCCAUACCACAAUUAAGGCUACAAAGCUAAAUGAUUUCACCUCUAGAGCUAACACGUGGAAUUACUGCACGCUUUUGGUUCUGCAUGAAGGACAGAAACAGAGCAAUGCAUCUCUACUAAAACACCAUGCACUUUUGCUAUGAAAUGAAAACAUUUAAAAUACCUUGUGAUGCUCACAUUUAUACUUGUGAAAAUAGACUAUGCCCCCACCACAUGAUAACUACAGAAUAACAAAGUACUAAGAACUCAAUGAAGUACUACUGAUACAGUAGGAAAGAGAUAAUGGACAUCAACUUGGAAUGGACACUGGCCCAGGCAGACUGAAGAGAAGACACUUCCAGCUGAUCUUGAUAAUUGCAACAUUGCAUGGCAACAGUGACUUUAUACACAAGUAUCAAAGGACUAUUAAUGACAAGCAUAAGUGGGGUAGGAGUGCACUUACCAGAGGACUACUGUUAUCACCUUAUCCACCUAGAACCAUAGCAAAUACUGUAGUUACACUUCAGAUCCAUAGCGGGGUAAGAUCCGCUAGCUCCGAAAGUAAAUCGACAUUUACGUAGAACGGCUUUCACCCCAUUGACCGAUUCCCUCUGCCAGCGAAGUAUCUGCCACCGCAUCCCAAAGAGGCAUCCGUACAGAGCGAUUUUAACCUUAACCAAGACAGGCCAUUUAGCAGUACAAAUCAGUUAACAUUAGGUUUAUGAAUAAUAACAAAAGGAUCCACGUGUAAUAUAAACCAAAAGUUUAUUUCUACCAAUUUGCCCAAGACACUAGAGGAAUGAGUUUCCAGUGAGAGAGGGAAGGCCCUCUUACAUUAACAGGCUUGCGCUCGAAUUGUAUUGUUUGUAACACUAGUAGCCACUUUAAAAAUGCAGACAAUAUGGGAGGGGGGAAAGACUCCUUAAAAGCCAAAAAAACAAAUGCUGGUUGUCAUCAUCUACUAGCCAACUGCAAACAUUCACUAGACAAGCUUACAAUGAAACCUUUGAUUAGUUUAAUCCAGUCGCCUCACCCCACAUCUGAAGCCAUGCAACUCGCAUCAAACACUCAGCAUGAAAAAAAAAAAAAACUACAAAUCUAGAAACACCAACAAAAGUUUAUUUGAAAAGCUUACGAAAGCUCUGCUCCUGUUUGUUGGUAAGUCCAGCAGACAUGUAAAAUACGACCAUACAAUACAUUAUUCAAAAAGGUACCAAAAAGUACAGUAAAAAUAACACUUCCAUCUCUGGAAAUGGACACAAAACAAUAUCAAAUAAAAAGUGGAAGUGGCAUUUGCUUCCCCAGUUCCUCACUUCAUCUGUACAUAUGUGGCAUGAGGCCAAAUUUCUGCCAACUCCAAAGGAAAAGCCAGAGCCCAUGUUCGCUGUGGCCGGACCAUGGGUUUCUUUUUUCUUAUUUACUUUAGACCUUAAGAGAGAAACAUGGUGCUUACAGUUACUGAGCAUAUCCAAAUGGCAUUUAGUAUCACAUACAUGGACACCAUGAUGUUUAAGAACUAGUAUCUUUAUUUAAACAUUAAUCACAUUGCUCCAGAGGGGGAGCACAUCAAAGGGGACAUGACACCUAGCUGCCAUACCCAGCACCCAAUCAGAAAGGCCCUAAUGCUUAUGCUGGGGCAACCACCACCUCAACCCUUAUUGAUCAAGUAGUGUUUGUAGGGAUGCAUCUUAAAAUGGUUGGCACAUGGAAUGAGUCCAUUAUUAAAGAUUUCCAGACCCUCACCACCCCCCCUCAUUAACAAACGUUUGAAUGAGAUCAGACUAGAUGGGAGAAAUUUUGGAGUCAAAGGCACAAAUGGUUACAGUUAGAUUGUCAUAUCACCAUAGAUGAUGCAAAAAUGCAUACCUGCACUACAUGUGAUCAGUAUGGCUUGUAGCUACUCUGGUGGCCUCCACGUCUUGGAGUUUUCCCAUAGCCUGCAUUGCCCUGGUCUGGAGGACAAGAAAGAAAAAGACUGAGUGUCUUCCGUACGACAAGGACCAACAAAGUUUCUCACAUUUGUGUUUCGGGUGGUUAUCGCUUACUGUAGUCGUAGCCACCCCCAUAGCCGUAUCCAGCGGAGUAGUCGUAGUUGCCAUAGCCUCCGUAUCCACCAUAGCCUUGCUGUCCACCGUAGCCGUAGCCCUGGUUACCGUAGCCUUGGUUCCAGUAGUUGUUGUAUCCACCACCACCACCUUGGUUCCAGUUCUGGCCCUGACCUGAGAACAAAUCAAUACAGGGACUAGAUGCAGUCUUAAAACCCAAACUUCUUAGGACUGUGAAGUACAGUUUGCCCAGGUUAAAUCAGCACCAGAUGUUUGGUGUUAAUACUCACCUCCACGACCCCUGCCCCGUCCCCCACCACCACGGCCACCAUACUGCUGCUGCUGGUACACCUCUUUGGGCUGGGCUAUUUUAAUCUCACACUGGAACAUACCGUAACAUGAAAACUUAAGUCAGCCACAGAAAAAAACAUUUGCAACACCCACUGCAUGGAUUUACAAUGUGAGGGUUACAUGUUCCCUGAGGAAACUACUAGAAAAACAACAUUUACACGAAUCAAAGGCUCCAUUUGAAAGUGGGUGGGCAACAUUGUACGUCCUUAAUCACAUAUGUACAAAAAGGGACAGUGCACACGGCCUUGCAGUGCAUUUGACAGAUCCAUUCUCACCUUGCUUCCACUGACGUUAUGGAAUUUCUUUUCUAGCACUUUUUUGACAGGAGUUUCAUCCUUAUACGUAAUGAACACGAAGCCCCUUCUCUUUUCUGUUUUUGGAUCCUGUGGAAGCUCAAUCGUCUCAAUCUGCAUGUGAAGGGAAGCUUAAACAAUUACUGUUAACACAGCACCAAAACCACCAAGUCAGUACUACCACACAACCAAAAUCAACAGAAAUGUGGAUACUAUACCUCUCCAAAAGUUCUGAAGUACUCCUGGAUAACUUCCUUUUCCGUAUCUGGGUUGAGGCCACCUACAAAGAUUUUCUUUACAGGCUCCUUCUUCAUGGCCAUGGCCUUCUUGGGGUCAAUCUGUCGCCCAUCUAGUCGGUGUUCCUUCUGCUCGAGAACCUUGAAAAGAGGAAGAAUAACUAGGAGAAUGAAGGGCAAAUAGUUGCAUAACCACAGGGAUGUUGCAGUGCUGUAAAACGUCACAUGGAAACACAUUGGCAUGAAAUAUGCAGCCCAUAAGUGACAGAAAUGUAAUUUCUUACCUUGUCUACACCAGCUGCCUCUUUGAAGAGAAUAAAGCCGAAGCCUCUUGACCUGCCUGUCUGCUGGUCCAUCUUUAUGGUGCAGUCUGUCACCUCACCGAAUUUAGAGAAAUAAUCUUUAAGAUCUUUCUUACUUGUGUCCCAGCUAAGUCCGCCAACAAACAUUUUCCUAGCAAAGAACAAAUGAACACAUUAAAUAUGGCAAUUGAUUAACACAAGUGCGCUAAGUGUUACGGAACAUUAUUUCUGCUGUAGGAAGGCUGGGCCUACUACAGCAUGUCCAAAGCCAUGCACGCCCAACAAUUUUAAUCAGAAAAAAACCCAAUGUGCUAUAAUUAACAGAUGGUGUAUCUUUUCACUGUACGCGAUUGUUUAAACGGGCGAGGGAGUGUUAUUUUUACGCUGAAUUCGCCCAUCCCAUAGAGACUAAAGGCCCAUCCCCCCUUAGCACUGCACAUGGCGCCAACAAAGCCAGACGUAACAAAGGAGCGAUGCAAUCCAUUAAGUGCUCUGUCGAGAUCGAAUACAAUAUUUCGAAUUCAUUUCUACACUCACCCCGCGUCCUCCUCGCCUUUGCUGGCGUUGAUCUGUCCGCCUUCCCCCUCCGAGGCACCAUUUUGUGAAUCUUCUCCCUCCCCUUUGCCUUCUCCCUCUAAUGCAGUUUUAUCUUCUACGCAGGCUUCGGUCUCUGCCUCGCCUUCAUUCGGGGCUUCGGUCUCAUCAGCGGGCUCGGCUCCGUUAAAAUCCUCCUCGCCUUCAUGGCCGUUCUCGGAUGUUUCCAUAAACUGUUGCUCGGUGUCUGACAUGUUGUAUUAGGAUCCCUUGUC